UGGGAACUUAGUGCUUCAGGCUCCCCAGCGACCCCCGACUCUCCUUAAAAAUCGGGGAGGGGAGUGGGGGAGGCCAGAGGAAGCCGAGAUCCCCCGCGAGGUGAUCGAGAGGCUGGCCCGCAGUCAGAUCCACAGCAUCCGGGACCUCCAGCGACUCCUGGAGAUAGACUCCGUAGGGAGUGAGGAUUCUUUGGACACCAGCCUGAGAGCUCACGGGGUCCAUGCCACUAAGCAUGUGCCCGAGAAGCGGCCCCUGCCCAUUCGGAGGAAGAGAAGCAUCGAGGAAGCUGUCCCCGCUGUCUGCAAGACCAGGACGGUCAUUUACGAGAUUCCUCGGAGUCAGGUCGACCCCACGUCCGCCAACUUCCUGAUCUGGCCCCCGUGCGUGGAGGUGAAACGCUGCACCGGCUGCUGCAACACGAGCAGUGUCAAGUGCCAGCCCUCCCGCGUCCACCACCGCAGCGUCAAGGUGGCCAAGGUGGAAUACGUCAGGAAGAAGCCAAAAUUAAAAGAAGUCCAGGUGAGGUUAGAGGAGCAUUUGGAGUGCGCCUGCGCGACCACAAGCCUGAAUCCGGAUUAUCGGGAAGAGGACACGGAUGUGAGGUGAGGAUGAGCCGCAGCCCUUUCCUGGGACAUGGAUGUACAUGGCGUGUUACAUUCCUGAACCUACUAUGUACGGUGCUUUAUUGCCAGUGUGCGGUCUUUGUUCUCCUCCGUGAAAAACUGUGUCCGAGAACACUCGGGAGAACAAAGAGACAGUGCACAUUUGUUUAAUGUGACAUCAAAGCAAGUAUUGUAGCACUCGGUGAAGCAGUAAGAAGCUUCCUUGUCAAAAAGAGAGAGAGAGAAAGAGAGAGAGAAAACAAAACCACAAAUGACAAAAACAAAACGGACUCACAAAAAUAUCUAAACUCGAUGAGAUGGAGGGUCGCCCCGUGGGAUGGAAGUGCAGAGGUCUCAGCAGACUGGAUUUCUGUCCGGGUGGUCACAGGUGCUUUUUUGCCGAGGAUGCAGAGCCUGCUUUGGGAACGACUCCAGAGGGGUGCUGGUGGGCUCUGCAGGGGCCCGCAGGAAGCAGGAAUGUCUUGGAAACCGCCACGCGAACUUUAGAAACCACACCUCCUCGCUGUAGUAUUUAAGCCCAUACAGAAACCUUCCUGAG
rnacentral:lncRNA from 10 species